rnacentral:sRNA from 1 species
UCAUUAACUUCAACGAUAUUAUAUGAUGC